rnacentral:rRNA from 1 species
GACGAACGCUGGCGGCGUGCCUAACACAUGCAAGUCGAACGGACGAAGGGAGCUUGCUCCCUGAGUUAGUGGCGAACGGGUGAGUAACGCGUGAGUAACCUGCCUCACACUGGGGGAUAACAGUCAGAAAUGACUGCUAAUACCGCAUAAGCGCACAGCAUCGCAUGAUGCAGUGUGAAAAGGAGCAAUUCGCUUCAGGAUGGCCUCGCGUCCAAUUAGGUAGAUGGUGAGGUAACGGCCCACCAUGCCGACGAUUGGUAGCCGGACUGAGAGGUUGAACGGCCACAUUGGGACUGAGACACGGCCCAG